rnacentral:ncRNA from 1 species
CAACAAUCCGGCCGUUGCCGCCAAUUCGGCAACCGGGUUUAGCGGCCCGCACC